GAGCCUAACAGAACGGGCACCCGAGUCGAGCGGAACGAUGGAAGCUUGCUUCCAGGCGUCGAGCGGCGGACGGGAGAGUAAUGCAUAGGAAUCUGCCCGGUAGUGGGGGAUAACCUGGGGAAACCCAGGCUAAUACCGCAUACGUCCUACGGGAGAAAGCAGGGGAUCUUCGGACCUUGCGCUAUCGGAUGAGCCUAUGUCGGAUUAGCUAGUUGGUGAGGUAAUGGCUCACCAAGGCGACGAUCCGUAGCUGGUCUGAGAGGAUGAUCAGCCACAUCGGGACUGAGACACGGCCCGAACUCCUACGGGAGGCAGCAGUGGGGAAUAUUGGACAAUGGGGGCAACCCUGAUCCAGCCAUGCCGCGUGUGUGAAGAAGGCUUUCGGGUUGUAAAGCACUUUCAGUGGGGAAGAAAGCCUUGGGGCUAAUACCCUCGAGGAAGGACAUCACCCACAGAAGAAGCACCGGCUAACUCCGUGCCAGCAGCCGCGGUAAUACGGAGGGUGCGAGCGUUAAUCGGAAUUACUGGGCGUAAAGCGCGCGUAGGUGGCUUGAUAAGCCGGUUGUGAAAGCCCCGGGCUCAACCUGGGAACGGCAUCCG
rnacentral:rRNA from 1 species